rnacentral:rRNA from 1 species
UACGGGGGGAGCAAGCGUUGUUCGGAUUUACUGGGCGUAAAGGGCGCGUAGGCGGCGCAACAAGUCACUUGUGAAAUCUCCGGGCUUAACCCGGAGCGGCCAAGUGAUACUGUCGUGCUAGAGUGCGGAAGGGGCUACUGGAAUUCUCGGUGUAGCGGUGAAAUGCGCAGAUAUCAGGAGGAACACCGAUGGCGAAGGCAGGUCACUGGGCCGCAACUGACGCUGAGGAGCGAAAAGCAUGGGGAGCGAACAGG